GAGAGGCUAGUCUAAUAAAGACAGCUGAUUUCGACUCAGCAGAUUGUGAUUCAAAUUCAUAGCCCCUCU
rnacentral:tRNA from 1 species